UACGUAGGGGGCAAGCGUUGUCCGGAAUCAUUGGGCGUAAAGAGCGUGUAGGCGGCUCGGUAAGUCCGCUGUAAAAGUCCAGGGCUCAACCCUGGAAAGCCGGUGGAUACUGUCGAGCUCGAGUCCGGAAGAGGCGAGUGGAAUUCCUGGUGUAGCGGUGAAAUGCGCAGAUAUCAGGAGGAACACCAAUGGCGAAGGCAGCUCGCUGGGACGUGACUGACGCUGAGACGCGAAAGCGUGGGGAGCAAACAGG
rnacentral:rRNA from 1 species